rnacentral:rRNA from 1 species
AUUGAACGCUGGCGGUAUGCUUAACACAUGCAAGUCGAACGGAAACGAUACUAGCUUGCUAGUAGGCGUCGAGUGGCGGACGGGUGAGUAACGCGUAGGAAUCUGCCCUCGAGAUCGGGAUAACCUGAGGAAACUUAGGCUAAUACCGGAUAAGACCACAUUUCAUAUGGAAUGUGGGAAAAGGAGUCUCAAUCUUCACUCGAGGAUGAGUUCGCGGACCAUUAGCUUGUUGGUGAGAUAAAAGCUCACCAAGGCAACGAUGGUUAGCCGGCCUGAGAGGGCGAUCGGCCACACUGGAACUGAGACACGGUCCAGACUCCUACGGGAGGCAGCAGUGGGGAAUAUUGCGCAAUGGGCGAAAGCCUGACGCAGCAACACCGUGUGAGCGAUG